GGAAACCACACGCUCAGGGCAGACAGCUCUUGGGGACUCUGCCGUUAGCCCCUUCCUUACAUCACCUCAUCCCUCGGGGGCACUUGAUAGCAGACAAGAAGUUCCAGAAAGGCUUACAUUUACUAAAAGUUUACUUCAAAUCCGCCUCAGUCAAAGUCCAUGUGUUCUGAAAAGGACAGAGGGGGCCUUGGAGUGCAGCCAAAUGGAAGGACUUUGAAGGCUGUCCAAGUGCUGCUUUCAGAGUGCACCAAGUUUUUAUUGUCCCUGACCGUGGCUCCCUGCCUGUCAGGCGGGAGCCUGGAGCCUGCACAGGGACAGAGCUGGUUUCAUCCGGUACUCCCUAGCCCUGGACAUCCUCCUUGUGUCACCUGUCCUCCUGCAGGCCCUCACUCUCCCCUGAGGCUGUCUUGUCCCGGACUGUGGGGAGCACCUCCACCCCCCGGAGCAGGUGCACACCCAGGUAAGCAGGUCCAGGGGCUAGGGUGGGCAGGGCUGGCUUUUGGAUCCUGAGUGUCACUACUCUCUCCUCCCUCCUCCCAGGGAUGCCCUGGACCUAAGUGACAUCGACUCAGAGCCUCCUCGGGGCUCCUUCCCCUCCUUUGAGCCUCGGAACCUCCUCAGCCUGUUUGAGGACACCCUAGACCCAACCUGAGCCCCAGGCUCUGCCUCUGCACUUUUAACCUUUUAUCCUGUCUCUCCCAUCGCCCUUGAAAGCUGGGGCCCCUUGGGAACUCCCAUGGUCUUCUCUGCCUGGCCAUGUCUAAUAAAAAGUAUUUGAACCUUGGGAGCA
rnacentral:sRNA from 1 species